CGGGCUGUAGUACACCGGUAGUAUGCACGCAUGGGGUGCGUGUGAACCGGGUUCGAUUCCCGGCAGCCCGACCA
rnacentral:tRNA from 1 species